UCAGCUGCAACACAAACCCUCCUCCCUCCUGUUCGUUUCUCCUCCCUCCCGUCCGUUUCUCUCUCCUCCCCUCCCGUCCGUUUUCUUCUCUCUCCUUCGAUCUUAUUCAUCUUCUGCAAUAUCAACGUGCUCGAAAAAAUCCAUAAAAUCAAAAAAAAAAUCGAGAUCUAAUUAAGAAUUUCGAGACCUAAUCUUUGCAAAUUAUUUAUAUAUGGGGAAGAAAUCGAGUUCAGGAUCACGCUACAUCCUCUCUUAGCGGUAACCGCUGGUAACACCAGUAAUAAGAUUCUCAAUGUGAGAGGUAGCAGUACGGAUGGAAGCGGAGGUAUUCCUGGUCCAAAACCAAGAAUCGAGGUUGAGAUGCUUGAAGUUGCGGGAGAGAGUACCCAUUGGGCCUGAAACAACGAUGAUCUUGGCGUUGACCUUGAUGUCGAUCCCCUAUGGGAUUUCCAAAUGGAUCAUAUUUUGCUCAUUUUCCCAUCAAUAUAAAUUGGGAUUUGUACAAAUGGUUCAGAUAUUUUAAAAAAUAACAUGCACAUUCAUGAGGUACACUGCUCCAGGAAAAGAAGUAGGGUGGCAUGGAAAAUUGUCGAAAAGGUAGUUGGAGUUGCAGAUGCUACAACUAAAGUUGGUGCAUGGAUUUCUUUUGCUAUGUCGAUCGUUUUCAUGUCGAGUUUGUUUGGAUGGUAGUCCUCCUGCAUACCAUCUACAUAGAGGAAAUGGAACUGGGAUUAAUAAUUGGUUGGUUCAUAUUGAGGGAGGAGGUUGGUGCAACAAUGUCACAUCUUACCUCGAACGCAAGUACACUCAUCUAGGUUCAUCCUGGAAAAUGGACAAAUAGCUUGCCUUUUCGGGAAUUCUGGGAAAUAAUCCAAUGUUCAAUCCAGGUUUUAACCAAUUCUCACAUGAUGGAUUAUUCUCCAUACUUGGGGUUAAGCUUAAACUCACUUAUUUUUCCUUUAAGGCUUCUAUACUUGAGCUUUAUGAGAUAGUGUGUGCACUUAAAGGGCUGCCACAAGAGAAGUUCCAAGUAUGAGACUACUUCAAUGAGAUAAUUCCAUCAGAUAAGACUUUGGAGGAUGCGUGCUUGCAAAUGGACCAACAUGUUAUUGGUGCUUUCUUACUCUGCUUUGUACAAUGUAAUAGGAAUGAUGUAUAUUUUACCCAAAAAAUAGGAAUGAUUUAUAUUUUUUCUUUAGAUGAACUUUGUGAACAAAUUUUGUGGCAUAUUAUUUGGUGAUUAGUUACAAUAAAAUAAUUUAAAGUUA